rnacentral:rRNA from 1 species
GACAGAGGGGGCAAGCGUUGCUCGGAAUUACUGGGCGUAAAGGGCGCGUAGGCGGGAUGGCAAGUCGGUCGUGAAAUCCUUCGGCUCAACCGAAGAACGUCGAUCGAUACUGCUGUUCUUGAGGGUUGCAGAGGAGACUGGAAUUCCCGGUGUAGCGGUGAAAUGUGUAGAGAUCGGGAGGAACACCGGUGGCGAAGGCGGGUCUCUGGGCAAUUCCUGACGCUGAGGCGCGAAAGCGUGGGGAGCGAACUGG